rnacentral:lncRNA from 1 species
CUUUGUCCAGAAUCAACUCAAAUCUUUGUUAUAUACAAUGUAUAUUCACUUUUUACUACCAACUGAUAAAUUAAAAUAAUCUUUACCAUUCAGUGAUAACAAGCAAUUUUUUACAUCUGAAUAUCUUAUGAUGUAUUUAAAUGAGUAGUUAUUGUUGCAAACUCCAUUAGAAAUUUAAUUGAGAUUAAUUUGGAAUAAGAGAAAGGGGGAUGUGAUUAAAAAAAAUGAUUUCAAUUUUCUCAUUUGAAAUGAAAUUUCAUAAAUAAAAUGAAAAUUUCUUCAAACAUUUUUUUGAGAGGAUUAAUAUUCAACAGCAUAGUGAAUUGCUCUAAGAGAAAACAAAAAUUUUAAGUUCAUUAGAACACAUUCAUUCUGUGUCAGAAACCUAUGCUGUGUCAACUAUUUAAUCACAAUCCAAAUUUAGAGCUGAAUCCAGCUUGAAUGUUGUGUCCAUACUUGCCCCAACGGUUCAGGGUUCAACCUCUGCGGUCGUAUAAAGCUACGCCCUGCGGAGCAUCUGGUUUUACUUAU